UGUGUUAUUUGACUGAAUCCUGUGUCUCCUGCUGCAGUGGAGUGUGGAGUCGUGAUCCGGACCCUGCAGAGCGGAGAGGACCCGGGUGCUGCCGAGUCUGCGAAGAGGAAGUCGGGGGAGGAGUCGGGGACCGUGGUGAAGAAGAUGAAGUCAGAUGCGUCCCUGGACCACCCCCCCUUCUACUACAGCAUCCAC